rnacentral:rRNA from 1 species
CUUGCUGGGGGGAUUAGUGGCGAACGGGUGAGUAACACGUGAGUAACCUGCCCUUAACUCUGGGAUAAGCCUGGGAAACUGGGUCUAAUACCGGAUAUGACUCCUCAUCGCAUGGUGGGGGGUGGAAAGCUUUUUUGGGGUUUUGGAGGGAUUCGGGGCCUACCAGUUGGUUGGGGAGGUAAGGGUUUACCAAGGGAACAACGGGUAGCCGGCCUGAAAGGGGGACCGGCCACCCGGGGACUGAAACCCGGCCCAAACUCUUACGGGAGGAAGCGGUGGGGAAUAUUGCCCAUUGGGGGCAGGCCUGUUGCACCGCCCCCCCGGGAGGGAUGACGGCCUUCGGGUGGUAAACUUCUUUCAGUAGGGAAAAAGCAAAGGGGACGGACCUGGCAAAAAAAGCGCCGGUAAACUCCUGGCCAGCACCCCGGGUAAAACUUAGGGGGCAGCCUUUUCCGGAAUUAUGGGGCGUAAAAAGUUCGUAGGCGGUUGGCCCGCCUGCCGGGAAAGUCCCGGGGCUCAACUCCGGAUUCUUGCGGUGGGUACGGGCAGACUAGAGUGAUGUAGGGGAGACUGGAAUUCCUGGUGUAGCGGUGAAAUGCGCAGAUAUCAGGAGGAACACCGAUGGCGAAGGCAGGUCUCUGGGCAUUAACUGACGCUGAGGAGCGAAAGCAUGGGGAGCGAACAGGAUUAGAUACCCUGGUAGUCCAUGCCGUAAACGUUGGGCACUAGGUGUGGGGGACAUUCCACGUUUUCCGCGCCGUAGCUAACGCAUUAAGUGCCCCGCCUGGGGAGUACGGCCGCAAGGCUAAAACUCAAAGGAAUUGACGGGGGCCCGCACAAGCGGCGGAGCAUGCGGAUUAAUUCGAUGCAACGCGAAGAACCUUACCAAGGCUUGACAUGGGCCGGAUCGCCGCAGAAAUGUGGUUUCCCCUUUGGGGCCGGUUCACAGGUGGUGCAUGGUUGUCGUCAGCUCGUGUCGUGAGAUGUUGGGUUAAGUCCCGCAACGAGCGCAACCCUCGUUCUAUGUUGCCAGCGCGUGAUGGCGGGGACUCAUAGGAGACUGCCGGGGUCAACUCGGAGGAAGGUGGGGACGACGUCAAAUCAUCAUGCCCCUUAUGUCUUGGGCUUCACGCAUGCUACAAUGGCCGGUACAAAGGGUUGCGAUACUGUGAGGUGGAGCUAAUCCCAAAAAGCCGGUCUCAGUUCGGAUUGGGGUCUGCAACUCGACCCCAUGAAGUCGGAGUCGCUAGUAAUCGCAGAUCAGCAACGCUGCGGUGAAUACGUUCCCGGGCCUUGUACACACCGCCCGUCAAGUCACGAAAGUUGGUAACACCCGAAGCCGGUGG